AUUGAACGCCGGCGGCAGGCUUAACACAUGCAAGUCGAGCGCGAAAGUUCCUUCGGGGAUGAGUAGAGCGGCGGACGGGUGAGUAACGCGUAGGAAUCUACCCAGUAGUGGGGGACAACCCGGGGAAACUCGGGCUAAUACCGCAUACGCCCUACGGGGGAAAGCGGGGGACCUUUCGGGGCCUCGUGCUAUUGGAUGAGCCUGCGUCGGAUUAGCUAGUUGGUGGGGUAAAGGCCUACCAAGGCGACGAUCCGUAGCUGGUCUGAGAGGAUGAUCAGCCACACUGGGACUGAGACACGGCCCAG
rnacentral:rRNA from 1 species